UGGCUCUCGCAUCGAUGAAGAACGCAGCGAAAUGCGAUAAGUAAUGUGAAUUGCAGAAUUCAGUGAAUCAUCGAAUCUUUGAACGCACCUUGCGCUCCGUGGUAUUCCGCGGAGCACGCCUGUUUGAGUGUCACGUCGUACCUCUCCCUCGCGACUUCUUGUCGCGCGCGGAGGACUUGGACCGUGCCGGACCUCGGCUCGUCCUGAAAUGCAUUAGCUGGCGCCGCUUAGGGCGGACCGGAAUCGGUGUGAUAAUUAUCUGCGCCGAACGCCGUGCCCUUCCCGUGUGCGCCGCUCACAGUCGUCCGCGAGGACAACAUUUAAAGCUCUGGCCUCAAAUCAGGCGGGACUACCCGCUGA
rnacentral:misc_RNA from 1 species